GUUCCAGACUCCUACGGGAGGCAGCAGUGAGGAAUAUUGGUCAAUGGACGCAAGUCUGAACCAGCCAAGUAGCGUGCAGGAUGACGGCCCUCCGGGUUGUAAACUGCUUUUGUCAGGGAGCAACGCCGGCUACGUGUAGCCGGACUGAGAGUACCUGAAGAACAAGCAUCGGCUAACUCCGUGCCAGCAGCCGCGGUAAUACGGAGGAUGCGAGCGUUAUCCGGAUUUAUUGGGUUUAAAGGGUGCGCAGGCGGCCCGGCAAGCCGGCGGUCAAAUCGCGGGGCUCAACCCCGCCCAGCCGUCGGAACUGCCGGGCUAGAGUGGGCGAGAAGUGCGCGGAAUGCGUGGUGUAGCGGUGAAAUGCAUAGAUAUCACGCAGAACUCCGAUUGCGAAGGCAGCGCACCGGCGCCCUACUGACGCUCAGGCACGAAAGCGUGGGUAUCGAACAGGAUUAGAUACCCGGGUA
rnacentral:rRNA from 1 species